AGAGUUUGAUCCUGGCUCAGAAUGAACGCUGGCGGCGUGCCUAAGACAUGCAAGUCGUACGAGAAAGUAGCAAUAUGAGUAAAGUGGCGCACGGGUGAGUAAUACUUGGAUAAUGCGCCUCUUCGCUGGGGAUAACUAGGCGAAAGCUUGGCUAAUACCGAAUAGUCCGUUUGGGGCUGUGGCUCUGAUCGGUAAAGCCGUAAGGCGCGGAGAGAGUAGUCCAAGUCCCAUUAGCUAGUUGGCAGGGUAAAAGCCUACCAAGGCAUCGAUGGGUAGCUGGUCUGAGAGGACGAUCAGCCACACUGGUACUGGAACACGGACCAGACUCCUACGGGAGGCAGCAGUUAGGAAUUUUGCGCAAUGGGGGAAACCCUGACGCAGCAACGCCGCGUGAAGGAUGAAGGCUUUCGGGUUGUAAACUUCUUUUAGCAGGAAAGAAAAAAAUGACGGUACCUGCAGAAAAAGCACCGGCUAACUCUGUGCCAGCAGCCGCGGUAAUACAGAGGGUGCAAGCGUUAUUCGGAGUUACUGGGCGUAAAGAGCGCGUAGGCGGCUCGAUAAGUCCGAUGUGAAACCCCUGGACUCAAUCCAGGAAGUGCAUCGGAUACUGUCAAACUAGAGUACAGGAGGGGAGAGUGGAAUUCCUGGUGUAGAGGUGAAAUUCGUAGAUAUCAGGAGGAACAACAGUGGCGAAGGCGACUCUCUGGACUGUUACUGACGCUGAGGCGCGAAAGCGUGGGGAGCAAACAGGAUUAGAUACCCUAGUAGUCC
rnacentral:rRNA from 1 species